rnacentral:tRNA from 1 species
GGGCAUGUGGUCUAAUGGUUGGCAAAAAACUUCACAGGAAUGUGAAGAGUCCCCUUGUGCAAGACGUCUCAUAACCGACUGGCCUCGGUAGAGAAGAUGCGGGUUCGAAUCUCGCUGUGUCCA